GACGAACGCUGGCGGCGUGCUUAACACAUGCAAGUCGAACGGAAAGGCCCUGCUUUUGUGGGGUGCUCGAGUGGCGUACGGGUGAGUAACACGUGAGUAACCUGCACUUGACUUUGGGAUAACUUCAGGAAACUGGGGAUAAUACCGGAUAGGAGCUCCUGCUGCAUGGUGGGGGUUGGAAAGUUUCGGCGGUUGGGGAUGGACUAGCGGCUUAUCAGCUUGUUGGUGGGGUAGUGGCUUACCAAGGCUUUGACGGGUAGCCGGCCUGGGAGGGUGACCGGCCACAUGGGGACUGAGAUACGACCCAGACUGCUACGGGAGGCAGCGGUGGGGAAUAUUGCACAAUGGGCGGAAGCCUGAUGCAGCAACGCCGCGUGCGGGAUGACGGCCUUCGGGUUGUAAACCGCUUUCGCCUGUGACGAAGCGUGAGUGACGGUAAUGGGUAAAGAAGCACCGGCUAACUACGUG
rnacentral:rRNA from 1 species